CUUCUGCAAACAUAACAUAGAAAAAGAGAAAAAAAGAAACAUGGGAAAAGACAAAAAGUUCUGGUAAUACAAAGAACACCUUUUCACCUUCCAUCUCUUCCAUCGGGUCUUCAUUCCUUCUUUCCAAUGC
rnacentral:ribozyme from 1 species